GGGGCUGUAGCUCAGUGGCAGAGCACUUGCCUAGCAUGUGUGAGGCACUGGGUUCGAUCCUCAGCACCA
rfam:Ictidomys tridecemlineatus contig066051, whole genome shotgun sequence.